AGAGUUUGAUCAUGGCUCAGGACGAACGCUGGCGGCGUGCCUAAUACAUGCAAGUCGAACGGUCUUUUCUAUGGAAGCUUGCUUCCACUGAGAAGAUAGUGGCGAACGGGUGAGUAACACGUGGGUAACCUGCCCAUAAGAGGGGGAUAACAUCCGGAAACGGGUGCUAAUACCGCAUAGUUUUCUUGAUCGCAUGAUCGGGAAAGGAAAGACGGCCUUUGUGCUGUCGCUUAUGGAUGGACCCGCGGCGUAUUAGUUAGUUGGUGAGGUAACGGCUCACCAAGACGAUGAUACGUAGCCGACCUGAGAGGGUGAUCGGCCACAUUGGGACUGAGACACGGCCCAAACUCCUACGGGAGGCAGCAGUAGGGAAUCUUCCGCAAUGGACGGAAGUCUGACGGAGCAACGCCGCGAGAGUGAAGAAGGUUUUCGGAUCGUAAAGCUCUGUUGUCAGCAGAGAACAGGAAGAAGAGGGAAUGCUUUUUCUCUGACGGUAGCUGACCAGAAAGCCACGGCUAACUACGUGCCAGCAGCCGCGGUAAUACGUAGGUGGCAAGCGUUGUCCGGAUUUAUUGGGCGUAAAGCGAGCGCAGGCGGUGAUGUAAGUCUGAUGUGAAAGCCCCCGGCUCAACCGGGGAGGGUCAUUGGAAACUGGAUCACUUGAGUGCAGAAGAGGAGAGUGGAAUUCCAUGUGUAGCGGUGAAAUGCGUAGAUAUAUGGAGGAACACCAGUGGCGAAGGCGGCUCUCUGGUCUGUGACUGACGCUGAGGCUCGAAAGCGUGGGUAGCAAACAGGAUUAGAUACCCUGGUAGUCC
rnacentral:rRNA from 1 species